GUGGUCACUUUAGCAGCACAUACACUAAUAUUGGAACAAUGCAGAAAAAAUUAGCAUGGCCUCUGCUCAAGGUUGGCAUACAAAUUCAUGAAGCAUCCCAUAUAUAU